GUUUGGCUGAUUUUUAAUUGUGAUGUUUAGCUAGACAGAAUGUGACAUUUUUUUCUAUAAAUGGGUUCUCUAAUGUUAUUUCAGAUUCUCAGAUUGACUAUGAAACAUCCUGUUUGUGAAGACAAAGAUGCUGAAACCCAUCAAAACAAUAGAGGAUUUUGGGCCACCAUACUAACAUAUAGGUGUCAUCUUGCUGGCAAUGAAACAAAAAGUGCCUGGUGUUCUAAGGUUCACUUCCUGGAGGAUGGAUGACGUUUUAGGUCAUUGUAUGUGUCUGAUUGAGCAACUGUCAUUAUGCAUUUCUGUUCACAGUGCUCUUUAAAUUUUGAACCCUUCGUAAUAAUAAAAGUCUUUGGAAUUUUC